GAGCCUAUGGCUUAUGGAUGAUGCGCCGGUCUACGGAACCGGAGAUUCCAGAUUCGAUCCCUGAUAGGCUCG
rnacentral:tRNA from 1 species